rnacentral:lncRNA from 1 species
CCCUCUAGCUUGAUCAAAAUUGACUCUUUGUCUGAAAGGAGGAGAAGGAUUAGGCACUGUGGCCUUAUUAAAUCCAACUGAAUGUCUAUUAGUGUGGACAUUGAAAGACAUAGAGUCUGGAUUAAACUGAGAAGGGGACAGGACUUGUCUCUGCUUCUCAUCAUUGAGGACCAUAUUAUAGACACUGUCAAGGCUUGGAGGUGUCUGCAUCAUCAAUAGGUUACUCCUUACCCCCAUGUAUGCUUUAUUAAGGCCCAUUAGAAACUGAAAUACCUUAUUUUCAUCAUUUUCCUGUAUUAUACCAUCUUUGGCAGCACAAACACAUCUUUGCCCAUGAUUGCCACACAUUGAUUCAAAUUCAUCCCACAAACCUUUGAGUUUAUUAAAAUAUGAAGCUACAUCUAGGGACCCUUGAGAGGUGUGAGAAAGCUCUCUUUUCAAUUCAUAAAUUUUGGUCCAGUUUGCAGUGCCAUAUCUGGCCUGAAGUUGG